UGACGAGCGGCGGACGGGUGAGUAAUGCCUGGGAAAUUGCCCUGAUGUGGGGGAUAACCAUUGGAAACGAUGGCUAAUACCGCAUAAUAGCCCGGUUGUUCGGAAUUGGUCUCAAAGAGGGGGACCGUCGGGCCUCUCGCGUCAGGAUAUGCCUAGGUGGGAUUAGCUAGUUGGUGAGGUAAGGGCUCACCAAGGCGACGAUCCCUAGAUGGUCUGAGAGGAUGAUCAGCCACACUGGAACUGAGACACGGUCCAGACUCCUACGGGAGGCAGCAGUGGGGAAUAUUGCACAAUGGGCGCAAGCCUGAUGCAGCCAUGCCGCGUGUGUGAAGAAGGCCUUCGGGUUGUAAAGCACUUUCAGUCGUGAGGAAGGUAGUGUAGUUAAUAGCUGCAUUAUUUGACGUUAGCGACAGAAGAAGCACCGGCUAACUCCGUGCCAGCAGCCGCGGUAAUACGGAGGGUGCGAGCGUUAAUCGGAAUUACUGGGCGUAAAGCGCAUGCAGGUGGUUUGUUAAGUCAGAUGUGAAAGCCCGGGGCUCAACCUCGGAAUUGCAUUUGAAACUGGCAGACUAGAGUACUGUAGAGGGGGGUAGAAUUUCAGGUGUAGCGGUGAAAUGCGUAGAGAUCUGAAGGAAUACCGGUGGCGAAGGCGGCCCCCUGGACAGAUACUGACACUCAGAUGCGAAAGCGUGGGGAGCAAACAGGAUUAGAUACCCUGGUAGUCCACGCCGUAAACGAUGUCUACUUGGAGGUUGUGGCCUUGAGCCGUGGCUUUCGGAGCUAACGCGUUAAGUAGACCGCCUGGGGAGUACGGUCGCAAGAUUAAAACUCAAAUGAAUUGACGGGGGCCCGCACAAGCGGUGGAGCAUGUGGUUUAAUUCGAUGCAACGCGAAGAACCUUACCUACUCUUGACAUCUACAGAAUCCAGCGGAGACGCCGGAGUGCCUUCGGGAACUGUAAGACAGGUGCUGCAUGGCUGUCGUCAGCUCGUGUUGUGAAAUGUUGGGUUAAGUCCCGCAACGAGCGCAACCCUUAUCCUUGAUUGCCAGCACGUAAUGGUGGGAACUUCAGGGAGACUGCCGGUGAUAAACCGGAGGAAGGUGGGGACGACGUCAAGUCAUCAUGGCCCUUACGAGUAGGGCUACACACGUGCUACAAUGGCGCAUACAGAGGGCAGCCAACCAGCGAUGGUGAGCGAAUCCCAAAAAGUGCGUCGUAGUCCGGAUUGGAGUCUGCAACUCGACUCCAUGAAGUCGGAAUCGCUAGUAAUCGUAGAUCAGAAUGCUACGGUGAAUACGUUCCCGGGCCUUGUACACACCGCCCGUCACACCAUGGGAGUGGGCUGC
rnacentral:rRNA from 1 species